CACUCCUACGGGAGGCAGCAGUGGGGAAUAUUGCACAAUGGGCGCAAGCCUGAUGCAGCCAUGCCGCGUGUAUGAAGAAGGCCUUCGGGUUGUAAAGUACUUUCAGCGGGGAGGAAGGCGAUAAGGUUAAUAACCUUGUCGAUUGACGUUACCCGCAGAAGAAGCACCGGCUAACUCCGUGCCAGCAGCCGCGGUAAUACGGAGGGUGCAAGCGUUAAUCGGAAUUACUGGGCGUAAAGCGCACGCAGGCGGUCUGUCAAGUCGGAUGUGAAAUCCCCGGGCUCAACCUGGGAACUGCAUUCGAAACUGGCAGGCUAGAGUCUUGUAGAGGGGGGUAGAAUUCCAGGUGUAGCGGUGAAAUGCGUAGAGAUCUGGAGGAAUACCGGUGGCGAAGGCGGCCCCCUGGACAAAGACUGACGCUCAGGUGCGAAAGCGUGGGGAGCAAACAGGAUUAGAAACCCUGGUAGUCCC
rnacentral:rRNA from 1 species